AAAGAGUAGUAGAUUUAAAAACACUGGAAACCCAGUGUGCAGUAAAACUAAAAAAGAGGGCUACCUAACCUAGUGUGAGAGGUGAGGUAGAGGUUAGGGUGAGAAAGGAUGGUAUAGGAAGGCUUUCUGGAAAAUUUCAAGAUAAAUCUUGAGGAUAAGUCAGAAUUAUACAGGUGAAAAGUAGAAUAGUGCCUGCUACCUUGCAAUUGUUCAGCAAACAUCUGCAAUGAUUACUAACUGUCAGUUUUUGGCUCUGCUUCAAUCCUCACAGUCCAAGCUCACUGCAGUUAAAUCUUCAGUCUCCAGCACUGCACUUGGGAAAGCGUCAAGGAGUUGAAUGUAUAUGUAAUUGGAGUGCCAGAAGAAGAGAACCGAGAGAGAGGGGCAGAACAGCUCAUGAGGGGAAAACCCACUACAUACAAUCAAGAAUACUGCAGACUCCUCAUCGGAAUCUAUGUGGCCACAGAGUGCAUGUGCUAUGAGGGACCCGUCCGACAUAUACCCUCCCAGAAGAGCAGGAAAGGGGGUUCAUAAAGAUGUUCUUCUGAUGGGGAGUGUCCUAUAAGGCCACCUUCACAUGGGAGGAUCGCAGCGCAUUUCGGCCAAGACAGGUGAGACUGCGGUUCUGACCUGCGGGCCUCGAUGAAUUGCGUUAGGACACCUGGGCUCCGGGAGAGCCGUUCCACUCCGCAAAGUAAGCGUGUUAUGUCUACAACCCAACGGGGACGCGCUAAGAGCCCCAAAGGCCCUGCUUUCAUCCCAAAGAACAGCCCCCGCCUGCGUAGUUUGUACCCGGCUCUAUGAGGUGAGAACACAUUCCCCGAUAGCACAGAAAUCCUACAAACUCCUGAGGGGGCUGCGGCUAGAAGCAGACGCUGUGUGAAAUGUGACUGGAGGUUAGGGAAAAACACGUAGAUUUUCACAGACCCUGAGAACCCAAGAGACUGCAGACCAUGGACAGACAAAUCUCUGCAAAAAGCAGCCCCGCGUAGAUAAAGGAAGAGCUGUGCGGCCUUCGCGCUAGCUAGCUUGUGUAAAGGUCGACGCUUCUUAUUUCUCCCGAGGCGGGGAGAAAGCGACAUAUUACUACUAUUCCUCAACCUCCGACUGUGAGAGAAACGAUUAAGAGUAAAGCACAAGCCAGUAAAAAAAACAAGUAACCCUCGCCGUGCAGACUGUUCUUUAAACUACAAAAAUC
rnacentral:lncRNA from 1 species